UCAUUUUGGGGCGGCGAGUUGAACAAAGCAAAUUUGACUUCUUGCCCAAAUUUUAAAGCAAAAUUAAACAAGAAAUGUCGAAGUCUGAACCUCGAGAAAAACUCAAAGACUGAACUAAGGUAUGUACUUUCUAUUUUACGUAAAAUGUACAUGUUUCGGCGAACGAAACUGCUUUAAAUUCUUGUCAAAGUUGAGGGCCGAAAUUCCCUUCGGUCGCCCAUUCGAUAUUCGUCUUGUCCUUGCGUAAAAACAUUGAAUUUUAGACUUGCUUUUCGCUAUAUUUACUUUAAAUUACUAGAUAAAUUGUUAGAUAGAAUACUCAGGAUGUUUUAGAGCUAAAUUUAUGUUAACUUUUGUCAUUAUAGUGAAAAGAAAUAUUCAGUUCUCAACCUCGUGGGUCAAUGUCAUGGAAGCGAAGUUGAUUCAGUAAAAUCGCUUUCUUGCUCGAAAUUUUAAAGCAAAAUUAAACAAGAAGUGUUGAAGUCUCAACCUCGAGAGAAUCUCAAAGACUAAAUUAAGGUAUGUACUUUCUAUUUUACGUAAAAUGUACAUGUUUCGGCGAACAAAACUGCUUUAAAUUCUUGUCAAAGUUGACUCGAAAGUUGAGGGCCGAAAUAUUUCCCUUCGGUCGCCCAUUCGAUAUUCGUCUUGUCCUUGCGUAAAAACAUUGAAUUUUAGACUUGCUUUUCGCUAUAUUUGCUUUAAAUUACUAGAUAAAUGGUUAGAUAGAAUACUCAGAAUAUUUUAGAGCUAAAUUUAUUUUACAUUUUGUCAUUUUAGUGAAAUGAAAUAUUCCGUUCUCAACCUCGUGGGUCAAGUCAUGGAAGCGAAGUUGAUUCAGUAAAAUCGCUUUCUUGCUCGAAAUUUUAAAGCAAAAUUAAACAAGAAGUGUUGAAGUCUCAACCUCGAGAGAAUCUCAAAGACUAAAUUAAGGUAUGUACUUUCUAUUUUACGUAAAAUGUACAUGUUUCGGCGAACAAAACUGCUUUAAAUUCUUGUCAAAGUUGACUCGAAAGUUGAGGGCCGAAAUAUUUCCCUUCGGUCGCCCAUUCGAUAUUCGUCUUGUCCUUGCGUAAAAACAUUGAAUUUUAGACUUGCUUUUCGCUAUAUUUGCUUUAAAUUACUAGAUAAAUGGUUAGAUAGAAUACUCAGAAUAUUUUAGAGCUAAAUUUAUUUUACAUUUUGUCAUUUUAGUGAAAUGAAAUAUUCCGUUCUCAACCUCGUGGGUCAAGUCAUGGAAGCAAAGUCGAUUCAGUAAAAUCGCUUUCUUGCUCGAAAUUUUAAAGCAAAAUUAAACAAGAAAUGUUGAAGUCUCUACCUCAAUUCAAACUGAGAAGGUAUGUAUAUAUUCUUCUGUUAUAUUUAUGUAAAAUGCAUGGCCAUAUUUUUAGCGAGAUAAUAGAACAUAUCAUUCUUACAAAUCGUGUCGUUUUUCUUUUUGGAUUUUUUAUUUUUUCGCGGGAAAGACGUCACAAACUUGGCGCCAAAAAUUUAAAAAUUAGCAAUGACUAAUUAUCACUUAUUUACUGAGACCGAGGGAAACAGUGUGUUUUGUGGACCCGAGACCAUGUUCGACGGUCGAGGGUCCACAAAACACACUGCUUUCCCGAGGUUUCAGUAAAUAAGUGUUUUAUUAUAUAUCAAUAGUCAAAGAAACAACAAAUUAAAGAACAAAUGAACGUAAAUACAUAAAAUAUUUUAUUGUUAAAUUAAAACGUUAUAUUAGGCCACAUUUAUUUUUUAUUUUAAAAACCCCCGAUUUUUAUUGAUCAACGGGCUCUAAUAUAUGUAGUAUUUCUGUUGACUGUAGUCAAUUGUGUUAAUAAUUUGCGAAAUUGCGUGCGAAAAUGACGGUAUGAAUUAUAUUUUGAAAUAUAGAAAAAAAUAUCUGUAUUGCGCAAGAAAAUCCAGUUUCGGACCUAACAUUGAGUAAAACCAAGGCGUUAAAAAUUAGUAAAAAUUAAAAAAAAAGCGCCCGCCCGCCCACUUUUUGGCAAAAGCUAAGGAUGCUAACCAACUAUUUUUUUUUGUUUGGCCUUAAACACUGGCUACACUGCAGUUACUUAAAGUGAAAGUUUUAAUUACGUACUAGGCAUGUCCAAAGGUCGCAUCUUCACGUGAUGGCGCACAUGAUUUUUUUUGUUAUUCGCCGGUCGAUAACGUAUUAUCUCCCUCUUGCGCUGUUGCGAGGGAGACAGCCUAAUUUCGUCACUCACGUGAUAUGCUCUCAACCAAUAAAACACUAGAAAAAUACGACUUUGACUAUUGAUAUAUAAUAAUAUUAUUUAUUUAUUUGGAAGACCAUGCUGUAGCAAUCUUGAAACUGAAGUCUGUUUCGAAGUACGACCAGUCAUUGCAAAGACAGAGUGAUUCAAAUUUCGAAAAAGCAGCCAUUUUGUUCUAUUUUUAGUAACAAAAUGGCCGAUUUUUCGAACUUUGAACCAGUCUAUCUUUGCAGCGAAUUGUCGUAUUUCGAAACAGACUUCAGUUUCAAGAUUGCUGCAGCAUGGUCUACCAAAUAAAUAAGUAAUAUUAGUCGUUGCUAAAUUUUAAAUUUUUGGCGCCAAGUUUGUGACGUCAUUUUCCCGCCAAAAAAUAAAAAAUCCAAAAACAAAAACGACACGAUUUGUAAGAAUGAUAUAUAUGUUCUAUGUUUAUGGAAAAUUUUGUACAAUCAGGAUGAAAAUUUAAAAAGUUGCAACACCUCUGGCGAUUUUGGACUACUUUUUGCCAGGCGUGUCACUUGCUCGAAAUGACUUCAAAUGCCGAAGUUGACAAGCGCCCGUUCAAUGUGCUGUCAUUGUCAUUGAAUUACAGAAUUUAGCCUCGGCUUUUUGGUAAUUCAACCCUGAAUUAAACCCUUGUUAGGGUGAUUUUAAAGCCAAAUUUGUUUAAAUAUUUGUCGUUUUUACGAAAAUAAUUGAUACAAUCAUACAACGCAUAAUUAAAUAAACUAUGCAUAUUGAUAAGAGGAGAACCAUUAGAAAUGUGAUGGGGGGAGAGACUUUUUCAACUUGUACGAAUUUUUUUUAACAUUUUUUGUUUGUGUCGAUAAUUUUCUUAGAUAUAAUCCCUUGCACAAUUUUUUUUAUUUCAACUUAUAAUUUUCCCUGUUGAAAUGUUCUUGCACAAAGUUUUUUUUUUCAAACUGUUUUAGUGCACAAUAUAUUUUCUUUCUGUUUCCCCCUGUGCAAUUUUUAAUUUUGCUACCCCCCUCCCCAUUACUUUUCUAAUGGUCCGUCCCUAAAUACCGGUAUUCCUUAUUUUAAUAUGUACUUUUUGUUUGUGGAAACACCACAUGAAUUUAUACUGCAGCAGAGCAGCUGGGAAAUUUGUUGCGCAUGCGCCAGAUUUCCAUUGAAACUUGAACAUCAGUUUCCCGAAGAAAUAACGAGAUGUUCGUGGUUGUUGUAUAUUUUUGAAUGCCUGUUUAAUCUUUAUAAUUUUUUUGCUCGAGACAAAGACAAAGUAAAAUGUACUCUACGUUUCCAGUGUAUAGAAUAUCUCGUUUGUGUUUGAACAGUAAUAGAAUAUUAUAAACUUGACACAAACAAGAAGACAUUUGACACGCUAAAUCUGCAGUCAUGCAUGCCAAUCGUCGCGAGCUUGACAGCCUUGUAAAGCGCAAAACAAGUACGAAUUUGGGUUCAAACAGAAAGAAGUUCAAUGUUAAUACCACUCACAUAUAUUCUAUAGAAAUACGGGUGGUUUAAAAUGUUUUCAAUUGAAUUUUCAAAGCUUUUAUCUAUCGACAUGAUAAUAAAACUGUGAAAAUCCGGCUUUUGUUGACGCUUGCGAAUGCAAAAUAACUUCCCGUAAAAAGAGCAUUUCUAUACAAAACUCUCGCUUAGUCUUCUAAUGCACUUGUAUGUUCGGUUCUACUAGCUAAACAAGGAAAAUAUCCAAGAAGCACUGUUAAAUUAUCGUUGUCAAAAAACAUUUCAGUUCUGGGGCAGUACGUACAAGGUCUCAAGGUCAAGUUGUCGAUUUCAUUACAUCAUACAUAGACAUAGACAUUUUAUUUGAACCCACUUAUUACAUUAGUUUUACAUUACAUUAAUUUUUUAACAUGACAUGGGUUCCGUCUGCCCGAAAUAACCAUUAAGGGGCUAGAUGAAUCAGGCAGACGUUUUACACACAACGCUUGACAAACAGAUAUAACGAAGCUUAAUAUAUAAAAUAGUCAAUUUACAUAAAUAUUUUACUCAAUUUAGCAGAACCACAGAGAGAAGCAAAACACCAUAUAAUUAUGAAAUUAUUAUUAAAAUUUAGAAUGUUUUAGCAAAAUCAAUAAUUAAAAAUAAUGAAAGCAAUUCAACAAUUCGAUACAUAAAUGAUACAGUACUUCGAAUGUUUUCAAACUCUUAUCUCAUACAAGAGCAGUAAACGCACGCAUUUCAAAGCGAAAUUAGACGCAAAGGGGCAAUUUUUCAACAAAAUUCAUUGUUAAAUUAUGUUUCCUAUGUGCCUUGGGAGCAAAAAAAUAUGAUUUUAAAUUUGGAGAUUUCGGUAAAUUUUUUUUCAAUUUGGCCUGGUAUUGCACCCUACCUAUGUACUAACGGUGCUGUAAAAGUAAUCAAAUAUACUAUUUUUAAUUUCCUUUCUUUGAAAGGAUCUACUAUUCUGGACUAAACUAAAUUUUAAUCAGCAUACAAGGCUGCAAACAACAGCCAAGAAUUAGCUGGGUAGUUUGCAAACUUUAAAAAUAAUUGGACCUCAAACUUCGAUCUCCAGAAGUAAACAAAUAGACAAUACUGCGAACAUAAUCCAAGUUUUGAUCACGAGGGCAAUUUUUAGAUGUAAAAAAACUUGUUUAAAUUACAUAUCAAACUAAGGCAAAACAAAAUUUGGUAUUAAAUUUUUGGUGAAAUCGUCUAAGUUUUUUGCUAUCCGCCCACACUUCUACACCCCCUCUCCCAGGAUAUUCUACCUCAAAAAACAGUUUUCUGCAGAAACUAUGCCUUUUUAUCGGAAAAAUGUUUACUUUUCUCAAAAAAUACAUUAUAAACACGGAAACCUUAAAUAUUUAAAUAAUUUUCAUACCUUUUUGGGAUUGAAAAAAGCAAAAUUUGAUUCAUUAUCCCACUUUUUAAAAUAUAUGUGAUAAAGUUGCUUCAAAAUCACCAUCACGCAGUAGCAUGUUUAUUUACCCUCAUCCUUUUGACUGAAUAAAGUUUAUCGUUUUGAAAAGCUAUUUGUUUUAUAGCUCUUGGUUACCGGUUUACGUUUAUGUCGAUUUUGGCACCCAUGAGACCAACAAGUUGUGGUAAUCCGCGAAUGAAAAUGGAUAUUCGAAGAGUACAAAAGCCAACUCCUAGCUAUGUAACUUUAUCGCCUGAAUUUUGAAUCAAUCCAAAAUUAAAAUGCUGAUAAUGUAGAUGCUUUCCAUACUUGAGAUGUUAGUGAAGUUUUUCCUACAAUUUAAUUUCCUUGAUCGCUGUCUUAAAAAUGCAAAAUCAUCAGUUGAAAUUUCACUCGUGUUGUUUUUUCAAAUUUUCGAAUUUUUGUAAAAUAUCGCGUGCGCCAGCAAUUUCUCUGCACAGCGACAACAAAUUUCCCAGCUGCUCUGCAGCAGGAAUAAAUUUACGUGGUGUUUCCACCAACAAAAAGUAUUAUGUUUUAUCACCAUGGACACCAUGCAAACCCACAAAGAACUUUAUAUUCCUUAUUUUAUUGUACUGUAUUAAAAAUGGUGGCAUACUGUACUAAGGCCCCCGUUUACAUGAGACCGGAACGAAGUCAAACCGGGACCAUCUCGUUUCGGUCAUACAUAGUAUUAUCUAUAAUAGAUGUUUACAUGAGACCGGGACGAAAAUAACUAGUAGUAGUAGAACUUUAUUUAUCCACGCUGACCCCGUCAACCUAAGCUGAUUUCCACGGGGGGCGUGUGAACUCAGACCGGUCUCAAGUCAUUCCGCCUUCUGGACCGAACCGACUGACUUCAGACCGGCAUGAAUUCAGACUGGGAUGAAUGUAAACACAAAUACAUUUCAGACCGGUCUCAGCUGUAAUCUUGACAUUGGAACAACACAUGCUAGCAAAAGCCAUCUGAAAAAGAAAAUUGCCUGGCAAGGGGAAUAAAUUGAAGAUUUUGUGAUCCUCGUACCGGUCUCAUGUAAACAUGUUGACAAUUUCCAUUUUCAUUCCGGUUUGACUUCGUCCCGGUCUCAUGUAAACAGAGCCUAAUUUGAUUUGUUAUUAAUCUUUCUAAUUUUAUUUUCAGGCUGAAUGGAUGUAAAUUGAAAUGUGUGUCACUGGAAAACCACUAUACCCCUGCACAUUGGAUACUCAAAUUGUAAAGCGAAUUCAAAGAUAAAAAUGUUCAAUUCUCAACUUCAAGAGAAAGCCUGGUC
rnacentral:lncRNA from 1 species